ensembl:lncRNA
CUCUUUCCAACCCCGUGGACUGUAGCCCGCCAGGCUCCUCUGUCCAUGGGGUUCUCCAGGCGGAAUACUGGAGUGGGUUGCCAUGCCCUUUUCCAGGGGAUCUUCCCGACCCAGGGGUAGAGCCCAGGUCUCUUGCAUUGCAGGCGGAUUAUUUACCAUCUGAGCCACGAGGGAAAUGACUGAAGCUGGGAGUUGCAGUGCAGCUGUGGGAACAAGGAGGUGGCAGUGUGAACACACGGACCCCAAAGUUUAGGAAGACUGGAUUUUGGAGACAGGCUGAAGAGGACCCCGCAGUGACACUCAUCAGGGUGCCCAGGCUUCCUCGACUUUAAAUUAGAGAAGAGACUGCUAUUCUCUCCUGUGGCCAUGAACCUGACGUGAACCGAGGUACAAGAAACCGAC